rnacentral:piRNA from 1 species
UCUUGGAAUAAUUAGGUCUUUGCAGUAGG